CCUACGGGUGGCUGCAGUGAGGAAUAUUGGUCAAUGGGCGGAAGCCUGAACCAGCCAAGUAGCGUGCAGGAUGACGGCCCUACGGGUUGUAAACUGCUUUUAUACGGGAAUAACGCGCCUUACGUGUAGGGCUUUGCAUGUACCGUAUGAAUAAGGACCGGCUAAUUCCGUUCCAGCAGCCGCGUUAAUACGGAGGGUUCGGGUGUUAUCCGGAUUUUUUGGGUUUAAAGGGAGCGUAGGCCGCAUGUCAAGCGUGCUGUGAAAUGGCCGGGCUCAACCCGGGCCUUGCAGCGGAAACGGGCGUGCUUGAGGCCGCGGAAGGCAGGCGGAAUUCGGCGUGUAGCGGUGAAAUGCUUAGAUAUGACGAAGAACCCCGAUUGCGAAGGCAGCUUGCUGCAGCGGAACUGACGCUGAUGCUCGAAAGCGCGGGUAUCGAACAGGAUUAGAUACCCGUGUAGUC
rnacentral:rRNA from 1 species